GGUUAACGCUGGCGGUAUGUAUAAUACAUGCAAGUCGAGCGACCCACUUCGGUGGGGAGCGGCGAACGGGUGAGUAACACGUUGGAACCUACCUCGAACUCAGGGAUAACCCACAGAAAUGUGGGCUAAUACCGGAUAGUCCCGCAAGGGUAAAGCUUUUGCGGUUCGAGAGGGUCCUGCGGCCUAUCAGCUAGUUGGUAAGGUAAUGGCUUACCAAGGCUUUGACGGGUAGCUGGUCUGAGAGGAUGAUCAGCCACAAUGGGACUGAGACACGGCCCAUACUCCUACGGGAGGCAGCAGUAAAGAAUCUUUCGCAAUGGGGGAAACCCUGACGAAGCAAUACCGCGUGGGCGAUGAAGGUCGAAAGAUCGUAAAGCCCUUUUCUGGAGGAAGAAUUCUGACGGUACUCCAGGAAUAAG
rnacentral:rRNA from 1 species